AGUCAUUUUUAAAUAAUCUGAUUGACGAACUAACUCAUGUUUCUUGGUUGGUAACUCGUGAUUUUAUACAGGAUAUUUUGUAGCAUAUUAGUACUGUUCUUCCUUUCUAAAGAUCAUCUGAUUUACCAUAGAUCUACUGUAAUAAAAAUUAUUAUUCUUGCGCGGAAAAUAUUUUGAAUUAUAUUUAGUAACAUAUUUCGAUAAACGUGAUAGGGUGAGAUAGUAUGAAAUAUAGGUACAUAUAGGAUAAUAUAUGUAUACAUAUAUGCAUAAAAUGCAUACAGUGCGAGGUGGUUGUAACGUGUAGGUUUAUUUAAUAAAAUAACGAGUGGAUGAAUUUGUAAUAGUCAGAUACAUUAAAAUAAGUACAACUACUAGUACAAAGUAACCGUCUGUCGUCCAGUGCUGCUAUACCAAUCGAAGAAAUGAUAAUAAUACUAUUGUCGUAGGUAGCACGUUCAUACAUCUAUAUUAACGGAUGUUACCACGAAAAGUCAAGUUAAGUUAAAAAGUUAAGUUGUAACCUAAAACAACGUUAAUAUUCAAAGGGUUUAACGUUUUAACAUUUUAGCAUUAAUAGAUUUAACAUUGAGAAAUAUCGUGUCGUUGAUUUGUCAUUACAAUCCAUUUAUUUGUAAAACGUUACAUAGCAUUGCACGUUUUUAUUGUCAAGCAUUUUUUAUUUAAAUAAUAUUCUUCGAAAACCGAAAAAUUAUAAUAUACAAGCCAUACGUAUGGCUCCAAAUAAAUCGAUAAACACUCGACACUAGAACACACAGUGCAUAAUAACGACAGAAACAUAGUGGAUAGACGGUGUAAACGAAACUUGAUCAGAGCAUGCUUUGGUAUGCUAAGUGGUACGUAUUAAGCUAAUUAAUGGAUGCAUCUCGGCAUAAUUUGUGUGUUCAGAGUCUCUUAGUUACCACGGUGUACGCGGUUCCUGUGACUGAUCGAUACUUCUAAUUUCAUCGGUUGAAGAGGGGCAGAGAGGAAAUGGGUGGAAAGGGAGAGGAGAGACUAGGAGGUGGAGAUGCAAUCGCUUUGGUUGUCAUACGCACAAUCACGAGGUUGCGUAACAUUGAAUCUACGAUGUUCGAAAAGAGUGAAGCAACUUCGGAUUUUCUCCCCUUAUGAGAGUCAUAUAAAUGCAGAUGUGGUCGUAUUUCCGGUAUAGAAACAUCGGUAUCAUUUCGAAGUAUACAUACAGCAGCUCACAAAAGUAUCUGAACACUUGCAGAAACCUUUUAGCAAAAUAUAGAGGGUGUCUCGGUAAUAAUGGUACAAUUGACAAGGAACCGACCCUCAAUUUGUUUUUAAAUUAAUAACAAUCAACUGUUUUAUUAAAAAUUGUACUUCGCCCCAUAAAAUAUUCAACACUAACAUGUUGCAUAUACACGAUCUAACAUACAGGAUAUAUGUGUAAUCUGUAAAAUCUGUACAUAUCUGUAAAAAUAUAAAUUAAAGAUUAUUUAUAUUUUCUGUCAUAUAUGAAAUUAUUGUUCAAAGUGAAAAUGGCCGUUGCACGAGAAUCAGAUAAUUGAUCGUUGCAUAUAGAUAUUUAUUCCUUGCCGAUUGUACCAUAACUACUAGGCUCAUUGCAUCGCUAAGGAGAUUUCAAAGAGUUUCACACAACACACGUCAUACAUUUAUACUUAUAUACAAUAUAUCAUAAAAUAAUAAAAAAAUAGAUAAUACGUUAUAAUAUACUUGUAAAAGUUUUCUACAAAUGCUAAAAUACUUUCAUGAGCCACUGUAUAUUAUAAUGUACGUUGGCGGGCAUAGGAAGAUACCUUAGCCCCUGGCGAAUGGCUUUUCUUUGGAACUUACCAGCGCAGUGGGUGCGCUUUCAUUUCCAUAACACGUGAAUGUAUAUGUAUAUGCUUGGUCUUAUUUCCUAUUGAAAUCGAGGUUUUAUGGUUUUCAGAUGCAGCGUGUUCUAUUCGUAUAUAGAUUUUGCGAUUGUUUCCAAAUUAUGGUAAAUUUGUGUGGAUAAGAUACAUAUAAUAAGUAGAGCAAUACAUUGUACCUUUUUUUUUUAUUAAAAAUUAUUUGUACUAAAAGCUACACAGGAGAGCGUAUAUGCAUAUGUACAAUGGUCUAUUCGAAUAAUAUUUACAUAAAUAUUAUCUACAUUUCAAGUAUACACAUCAGGAUAUCCUGGUCUAGCACAUCCUGAUCCAAAAGAAGUGACGCCUGCCAAUUGCCAUACUCCGUCUGCGCGACGGCAUUGUAAUGGUCCUCCAGAAUCACCCUAAGAGAUGUUACUAUUUUAUCAUUUAAAACAUUACUUAUAAAUGUAUAUAUGUAUAUUUAUAUUGCUAAAAACAUUUACGACACUAAUUACUGAAAAUAUUGUUAAAAUAUUCGAAUCAAAUUUUAAUAAUCUUGAAACGUAGAAAUGUGUACCACAAUACUUUUAUCUUGUAACUUACAAUAUUGCUUAAUAUCAUAUAUAUAUAUAUGUAUAUUCAAAAAUUUUUAAAAAGAUUUAUAACUAAUUGUCGAAAAUAUUUUUUAGGUGUGCGAAUGUAAUACCGAAUAUCCUUAAAAGGGAAAAAUAUUUACUAUAAAGCAUAGUAAAUGCUUCAGAAGGCGUAUUAAAAUCGAAUUAUGAUGAGUAUGGAGAGAUUUUAAUGUUAAUUUCACAUUGGUAUAAAUAGCAAUUUUAUAAGUAAAGGAAUUGACGUGAUUCAUCUGGAUAGAGCGUUGUCAUAGAAAGCCAGAUUGCAUUAUCCAGAAAAUGCAAGGAUUCCAAUCUACUUAAGUGUAUUUUGAUGAUCGGUGGUGGAUAUCUUAUGUAACGACGAAACUUCCGGUCGAGCCAUCAGUGUGACCAGCACAGAGAUGACCGCUUCGAAGCGAUACCGAUUUCCCAUAAGCUUUCAUGCAUUUUUCAAGAUCUAGCAAUGGCACUGAGGCUUCUAAUAAUGCAGUGGAAAGUGACUGAGAAGGUAGUCUUGCCGAGCCUCGUCCACCGGAGUCUAAUUCCCAUUCCCCGACCACCGCCGUCCACAGUGCACCAAUCGGUAAAUUGAAAAGCUCGCU